AUUGAACGCUGGCGGCAGGCUUAACACAUGCAAGUCGAGCGGGGAAGGGUAGCUUGCUACCUAACCUAGCGGCGGACGGGUGAGUAAUGCUUAGGAAUCUGCCAUUUAGUGGGGGACAACAUUCCGAAAGGAAUGCUAAUACCGCAUACGUACUACGGGAGAAAGCAGGGGAUCUUCGGACCUUGCGCUAAAUGAUGAGCCUAAGUCGGAUUAGCUAGUUGGUGGGGUAAAGGCCUACCAAGUCGACGAUCUGUAGCGGGUCUGAGAGGAUGAUCCGCCACACUGGGACUGAGACACGGCCCAGACUCCUAUGGGAGGCAGCAGUGGGGAAUAUUGGACAAUGGGCGGAAGCCUGAUCCAGCCAUGCCGCGUGUGUGAAGAAGGCCUUAUGGUUGUAAAGCACUUUAAGCGAGGAGGAGGCUACUUAGAUUAAUACUCUAGGAUAGUGGACGUUACUCGCAGAAUAAGCACCGGCAAACUCUGUGCCAGCCGCCGCAGUAA
rnacentral:rRNA from 1 species